UACGGAGGUGGCAAGCGUUGUCCGGAAUUACUGGGUGUAAAGCGCGUGUAGGCGGCAGACCAAGUCGGCGGUGAAAGCGCCCGGCUCAACUGGGCGAGGUCCGUGGAAACUGGUCAGCUGGAGGACGGUAGAGGCGAGUGGAAUUCCCGGUGUAGUGGUGGAAUGCGUAGAGAUCGGGAGGAACACCAAUUGCGAAGGCAGCUCGCUGGGACGUCACUGACGCUGAGACGCGAAAGCGUGGGGAGCAAACAGG
rnacentral:rRNA from 1 species